AUUCCAGCUCCAAUAGCGUAUAUUAAAGUUGCUGCAGUUAAAAAGCUCGUAGUUGCAUUUCCGAGGCAAGGGAUUAGUCCGACCUUUGGUGGGUAUUUAAUCCUCUUGCCUCGUCCUUGAGUGGUGCUUCUUGGUAUUAAGUUAUCGAGGAGAUAGCCGCUCAUCGUUUACUGUGAGAAAAUUAGAGUGUUCAAAGCAGGCUUAUGCCGUUGAAUAUAUUAGCAUGGAAUAAUAAGAUAGGACCUCGGUACUAUUUUGUUGGUUUGAGAACCAAGGUAAUGAUGAAUAGGGACAGUUGGGGGUAUUCGUAUUCAGUUGUCAGAGGUGAAAUUCUUAGAUUUACGGAAGACGAACUACUGCGAAAGCAUUUACCAAGGAUGUUUUCAUCA
rnacentral:rRNA from 1 species